GGGAAGGUGGCUCAGUGGUAGAGUACUUGCCUUGCAUGCAUGAGGCCAUGGGUUCAAUUCCUCAGCAUCACA
rnacentral:tRNA from 1 species